CCCUCCAUCAUGUACAACCAAACCAACCCGAGAACGGACUAUAUUUCCUCCUGAGCGCCGCCCUGAACUUCCACUCGCCUGCAGCGCUGCACUAGAGCCUCAACAAACCCCGCUCCGAUCCACCAUGGAGGAGCCUACCUUCUUGAUGUGCAGAUUCAAGUUCAAAUUUGGUGAUUUUAGUUCCAUCAAGAGGAUGACUGCGCAACGAGGUCGAGGAGCACCAGGCCCUUGUCUGUUUGUUGCCCAUUCGGUAGAGUCCACGAGAAGUUCAUAUGGUGGAGCGCUGCAUCCCAGACGUGCACUUUGCCUCUCACAGAAAAAAUACACCUUUGUCUGGUGGUUUAUCCACGUGAAUUUUUUGAGCAUCAUGGUGCUGUCGGCAGUAGCAGACGGGAACGAGACGCCGGCAUGGUGGAGUACGACUAGGAUUGCACCAUCGUCUAUGUCAUCCAAGUCCAGGUGCGCCAUUGGUUCUGAAGUUCAUUAUUUUGUCGGAUAAAAUUUCAGUUCUAUAUGAGGGGGAGUCCACCUCACGAAGCCUUUAGAGGAAGUUCACUUAUUCUAGCUGUAAAGAUCACUUCGACGCUGCAUCAAUCAAUUAUAUUUUAACA